rnacentral:rRNA from 1 species
AUUGAACGCUGGCGGCAGGCCUAACACAUGCAAGUCGAACGAGUGGCGGACGGGUGAGUAAUGUCUGUGAAACUGCCCGAUGGAGGGGGAUAACUACUGGAAACUGUAGCUAAUACCGCAUACCAUCGGAUGUGCCCAGAUUGGAUUAGCUAGUAGGUGGGUUAACGGCUCACCUAGGCGACGAUCCCUAGGUGGUCUGAGAGGAUGACCAGCCACACUGGAACAGGGACACGGUCCAGACUACUACGGGAGGCAGAGGUGAGGAAUAUUGCACGAUGGGCGCAAGACUGAUGCAGCCAUGCCGCGUGUAUGAGGAGGGCCUUCGGGUUGUAGAGUACUUUAAGCGAGGAGGCGUUACUCGAAGAAGAAGCACCGGCUAACUCCGUGCCAGCAGCCGCGGUAAUAC